rnacentral:rRNA from 1 species
GGAGGAUGCGAGCGUUAUCCGGAUUCAUUGGGUUUAAAGGGUGCGCAGGCGGAAUGAUAAGUCAGUGGUGAAAUCUCCCGGCUCAACCGGGAAACUGCCAUUGAUACUGCCAUUCUUGAGUACAGUUGAAGUGGGCGGAAUGUGUCAUGUAGCGGUGAAAUGCUUAGAUAUGACACAGAACACCGAUAGCGAAGGCAGCUCACUAAGCUGUAACUGACGCUCAUGCACGAAAGCGUGGGGAUCAAACAGGAUUAGAUACCCUGGUAGUCCACGCUGUAAACGAUGAUCACUCGUUGUUGGCGAUAUACUGUCAGCGACUGAGCGAAAGCAUUAAGUGAUCCACCUGGGGAGUACGGCGGCAACGUUGAA